rnacentral:tRNA from 1 species
GCUACUAUAGCUCAGUUGGUAGAGCAACGCACUCGUAAUGCGUAGGUCAACAGUUCGAGCCUGUUUAGUAGCACCA